rnacentral:ncRNA from 1 species
AGGACGCCCGGCAAACGGGCCACCGGACGAGGGGUGCCGUACCCGGCGAGCGACAAGACGGCCCACA